AGCCAUUCUUUUGUACUCUUUGUGGUAAAACUUUUACCACAAAGACUAACUUCACUUCUCACAUGAGAAUUCACAGAGGUGAGAAGCCUUUUAAAUGUGAGUCCUGUGGAAAAAGCUUUACUCAUAAAGGCACACUUGAUAAACACAUCAGAAUUCACACAGUGUUUCCUCGAGCUCCGACGUCUUCAGUGGAAGUUCUCCGGUUCAGACUGUUCUGGAUCUACCUCUGAAUAAUCCCUCUAGCUCCCUUGGUGGUACCAAGCCGGGCUGGAGAGCCUUUCAAGUCCUUCUGGUUCCAUUAGCUGCCCCCGGAUUCCUCCUUGGCCGCUGCUACUCGGGCCCCUCCUCACAGACUUCAAUCACCUGCCCGCCUGUCGCUCAGUCACCUGCCAACUUCUCGGGAGGUUCCUCAGUGAGUCCGUCUCUCCACUCCCCCCUGCCCGGUUCCUUCAUCCGGCGAUCGAUCAGUCCUGCCUGCGCUGAUAGUCCACCUGCUCACCGUGCCGCAGCUCCCAGUGUUUGGUUCCCUCGCUGUUUAAUUAAACGUCUGAAAAUUG